rnacentral:rRNA from 1 species
UACGUAGGGUGCGAGCGUUAAUCGGAAUUACUGGGCGUAAAGCGUGCGCAGGCGGUUGGCCGUGUCUUGUGUGAAAGCCCCGGGCUUAACCUGGGAACUGCAUGGGAAACUGGCUGGCUUGAGUGUGGCAGAGGGGGGUGGAAUUCCGCGGUGUAGCAGUGAAAUGCGUAGAGAUGCGGAGGAACACCGAUGGCGAAGGCAGCCCCCUGGGCUGACACUGACGCUCAGGCACGAAAGCGUGGGGAGCAAACAGG